rnacentral:tRNA from 1 species
CCUUUCGUAGUGUAAUUGGAAGCAUACUCGACGCGUACUCGAGAAAUCCAGGUUCAAGUCCCGACGAAGGCA